UGGCUCAGAUUGAACGCUGGCGGCAGGCCUAACACAUGCAAGUCGAGCGGAUGAAGGGAGCUUGCUCCCUGAUUCAGCGGCGGACGGGUGAGUAAUGCCUAGGAAUCUGCCUGGUAGUGGGGGACAACGUCUCGAAAGGGACGCUAAUACCGCAUACGUCCUACGGGAGAAAGCAGGGGACCUUCGGGCCUUGCGCUAUCAGAUGAGCCUAGGUCGGAUUAGCUAGUUGGUGAGGUAAUGGCUCACCAAGGCUGCGAUCCGUAACUGGUCUGAGAGGAUGAUCAGUCACACUGGAACUGAGACACGGUCCAGACUCCUACGGGAGGCAGCAGUGGGGAAUAUUGGACAAUGGGCGAAAGCCUGAUCCAGCCAUGCCGCGUGUGUGAAGAAGGUCUUCGGAUUGUAAAGCACUUUAAGUUGGGAGGAAGGGCAGUAAGUUAAUACCUUGCUGUUUUGACGUUACCGACAGAAUAAGCACCGGCUAACUUCGUGCCAGCAGCCGCGGUAAUACGAAGGGUGCAAGCGUUAAUCGGAAUUACUGGGCGUAAAGCGCGCGUAGGUGGUUUGUUAAGUUGGAAGUGAAAGCCCCGGGCUCAACCUGGGAACUGCUUUCAAAACUGGCAAGCUAGAGUAUGGCAG
rnacentral:rRNA from 2 species